UCUUCAUGAUCCUCCUGCAGAAUGAGCAGGUAGGGAGCGGCAGAUGAGAAUGGGCUUCCUGGGGCAAAGGGAGAAAGGGGUCACCUCUCCCGUCACCUUCCAGCCUGCAUCAGGGUGCUUUCCAAAGCCGCAGUGAGCCACGUCUCUCCCUUGAGCACCUUCAGGAAUACUUCAUCAGCUCAGCAAGCCCUGUGAGGUCACAUGUGAGAGCUGCCAUGCUGCAAGAGUAUUCAAGCAGCCCUGAGGAGAGGUCCAGGCAGGGAGAAGCCGAGGCUUCCUACUCCCAGCCACAGGAACCAGGUAUCACCAAAGCAGAUCCCCCAGUCUUGGUGGAUCCUUUCACCACCUGCAGCACUAGCAAGAUCAGGAAUGUGAACAGAUGAGAGACCUCAAGCUGGAAUCACUCAGGGAAGAUCAUGUGACCCCCAAACUGGCCAAUGAGAGAAGAGCAGC